rnacentral:rRNA from 1 species
CCUACGGGAGGCAGCAGUGGGGAAUAUUGCACAAUGGGGGAAACCCUGAUGCAGCGACGCCGCGUGAGUGAAGAAGUAAUUCGUUAUGUAAAGCUCUAUCAGCAGGGAAGAAAAUGACGGUACCUGAGUAAGAAGCACCGGCUAACUACGUGCCAGCAGCCGCGGUAAUAAGUAGGGGGCAAGCGUUAUCCGGAUUUACUGGGUGUAAAGGGAGCGUAGACGGCAGUGCAAGUCUGGAGUGAAAGGCGGGGGCUCAACCCCCGGAAUGCUCUGGAAACUGUACGGCUGGAGUGCAGGAGAGGUAAGUGGAAUUCCUAGUGUAGCGGUGAAAUGCGUAGAUAUUAGGAGGAACACCAGUGGCGAAGGCGGCUUACUGGACUGUAACUGACGUUGAGGCUCGAAAGCGUGGGGAGCAAACAGGAUUAGAUACCCGUGUGUC